CGUACACUCCUGCGGGAGGCAGCAGUGGGGAAUAUUGCACAAUGGGCGCAAGCCUGAUGCAGCGACGCCGCGUGGGGGAUGAAGGCCUUCGGGUUGUAAACUCCUUUCGCUAGGGACGAAGCUUUUUUGUGACGGUACCUAGAUAAGAAGCACCGGCUAACUACGUGCCAGCAGCCGCGGUAAUACGUAGGGUGCGAGCGUUGUCCGGAAUUACUGGGCGUAAAGGGCUCGUAGGUGGUUUGUCGCGUCGUCUGUGAAAUUCUGGGGCUUAACUCCGGGCGUGCAGGCGAUACGGGCAUAACUUGAGUGCUGUAGGGGUAACUGGAAUUCCUGGUGUAGCGGUGAAAUGCGCAGAUAUCAGGAGGAACACCGAUGGCGAAGGCAGGUUACUGGGCAGUUACUGACGCUGAGGAGCGAAAGCAUGGGUAGCGAACAGGAUUAGAAACCCCGGUAGUCCCAUGA
rnacentral:rRNA from 1 species